GGGAAGGUGGCUCAGUGGUAGAGUGCUUGCCUUGCAUGCAUGAGGACCUGGGUUCGAUUCUUCCACACCA
rnacentral:tRNA from 1 species